UUCACUCUCCAGUACUGGUCUCCCUUAAAGAAGAAGAUCUUGCCGUUGGUCCAGGUGAGAGCUGCAUCUGGAUCUGACGGCACCCCGGAGAAGAGCAUGGAGAGUGGUUUGGGGUAGAUUCCCAGGUACAGGGCUGCGUUGAUGUUCGGAGGGAUCCGUUUCACCUGUUUGGGGUAACCGUCGUCCAGCAUGAACAUGGUAUACCUCCACACUUUAUCACCUGUGACCAGGAGACAAACAUUCACACAGUUGGACUCACAACUGGAGAACAGAAGAAGAGCACACAACCAGGCGUGGUAAAGAAAUAGAUUCACUCGUACUGUAGUACAAUCUUGAGGUACUUGUACUUUACUUGUGUAUUUCUAUGUUAUGCUCCUUUUUCAAAAUAUUUAACUUUGACAUGACUACAUUUAUUUUAAAGCUGUAGUUAAUAGCUGUGAUGCAGAAUCAUAUUAUUAAUACAAAAUAAGACAAAAUAAAUACGAGAGAAUGUAUAAAUAUACUACCGUGCCUUAUAACAAGUAGUUAUAGUGGGGCUAUAAGAUGCAACAUUGAGAGACACAAACAUCAAUAGAUAGAAUCCAGUAACAAUAUGUUGUUCUGAAAUAAGCCAUUCUACAGAAGAAAAACUCUCACUUUUGGCACUCUAAGUAUAUGUGAUGAAAAUAUGUUUUUGUACUUUUAUUCAGAAUUCAGGACUUUUAAUAUAACGGAGUAUUUCUUAAUUGUGCAAUUACUGCAUUUAAUUAAGUUAGAUAUCUGAGUGUUUCUUCUCCCACUGACACUGACACACGACAGAAGCACUGGACAGCUGUACCUUUGAAAAAGUACGUCUUGUUGGUCCUCUGAGAGUGCACCGCAGCGUUCAGGUCUCCAGGCAGGGCCUUCCACAACCUGUUGAUCUGUAUCGGUGUGUUGUGUCCCAGAUCAGAGAUCGUCCAGACGUAGUCACCACUGAAGGCAAACGUUUUCCUCCAUGGACCUGAUCAAACAUUCAGAGAGGGGACAGCAGGGCCAAAAGUAGCUAUGUUUCUACAUUUAGAUAGAAUAGAAAACUGACCACGGCCAUCAAACGGGAAGGGGCAGAAUCCAUCUUUCUUAUGGAAGGAGAUCUUGAUGUCUGCUCUGCCAUAGCUGAUCUCUCUGAAGAUCAAAGCAGCGACAUCACUCCAGUACUUAAAGGCAGAACGGACGGCCAUCUUCACCUCGGUUUUCUUCAUGUCAGGCGUGUAGUUGUAGAUACGGGAUCCUCCAUGCCACAGCGAGGCUGUCUCAUCACACCCACAGUGGCUUCAUCCAACUCUCCAGUAGGUGGCAGAUCAUUCACUCUCUGAAAAACCCUGGAGACAAGAAUGGAUCAAACAUCUGCACACAUCCUGCUCCGGAGCUCCUCUGUAUCUGGGAGGAUCGUUGAUACAUAUCUAACUGAUUCAAAGUACCCGCAUGUGUUUCCUCUUGAAAGGGGAAUAGUUUAUUUUACCUGAGAGCUUCAAUGAUCUCCUCCAGGUAUUGGGGGUCCUGCGGAUCAGCGGGGUUAUUCAGGUAACCAUACUUCAUCAGAUAGGCCUGUUCAAUCAAAGGCAGACAAAAAAGCUCUUAAAAGAAUAAUGUGAACGUAAUAAGGAUGUCAACGUUUGUAAAACAUUUGUAAAUGUGGUUGUUUUGCUGCUGAACAGAAGAACAUUGUAAAACGUUAUGGAUUUAUUAAGGAUGCAGCCACAUUAAGGCACCUAAACCAGAACUGUAGGAUACAGUAAAGUCCUAUUUUAACUUCUUACAGGAUUAUAUAUAAUUCUGUAACCUUAACACCCUUCUCCCCUUUCGUUAUAAAUGCUUUGUUUGCUUUUAUUCACAUGCAUUUUUUUAAUGUGUAUGUAUCAUGGAUGCGUUUGAUUUCCAGACAGUAAAAUAAAGUACAUUUUGAA